CACUUGCAAUGUGAGUCCUAAGAGCCAGAGGUGGGAGGGGCUGGCUCUCAGUUCCCGCCUCGCGGUGUGUGCCUGCCCCGCUGCGAUGGAGGUCCUAAGAGCAAGGGGGGGAAGAGGGGCUGGCUCUGGUAGAUUGCAAAUGACCUGCUUUUUUUCUGAUCCCGAGCUGCGUUCGGACCCCUGUCGGAUAGUAAAUCCCAGGUAAGGUACCUGCGGUCGGCAGGUCUGAGCUUUCUUCUUGGACACCUAAAACCCCCAGUCCUCCAGUAAGGUACCUGCCGUGGGCAGAUCUGAGCUUUCUUCUUGGACACCCCAUACCCACAGUCCUCCAGGCCACCCUUAAGUACAAUGUUCUCCUACCUAAGAAGGCAUCUGGAUUUUCUCUUUCCUUGGAAAUAGUAAAGAACUACUCUUUGACUGUUUUUGACCUCACAGUGAACCUCAAAUACACUGGAAUUCGCAAUAAAUCCAGUAUGGUGGUUAUAGAUGUAAAAAUGCUAUCAGGAUUUACUCCAACCAUGUCAUCCAUUGAAGAGCUUGAAAACAAGGGCCAAGUGAUGAAGACUGAAGUCAAGAAUGACCAUGUUCUUUUCUACUUGGAAAAUGUUUUUGGUCGAGCAGACAGUUUCACUUUUUCUGCUGAGCAGAGCAACCUUGUGUUCAACAUUCAGCCAGCCCCAGGCAUGGUCUACGAUUAGUACGAAAAAGGUGGAGAAGCAUUUCUUUUAACAAACUGAUUCUUCUGUAUCAAACCUGGAAAAAAAUCAUGAACCAUCUGACAUCGUGAACAGUCUGCAGUGGGCUAUGGUUUCUUGACAAGUCUUAUUUCCUUAUCAUCCCAUUAAAUGUUGUCAUUUUGCAUCUGA
rnacentral:lncRNA from 1 species